ensembl:lncRNA
AUGCAUCCACUGGAAACGCAAAUGACUCCCAGUUUGAGGAGUGCGCGGAGAGAUUUCACCAAACUGCCUGCCUGCGGCGCGGCGGCUGGAGACGGGCGCUCACCGGGAUGGAUAAGAGUGCGAGAAGCAGGGUGGUUUCGGAGAACCAGGAGAAGAGAUGGAGCAGAAGGGAUGUCUGCAAACUGUCUGUUAUACAUAGGAAUGGUCUUACUUCUGUUGCAGUGUGCGCAGGCCACAGAGGAUGAGACGAACUACGACGCCUCUGGUUCUUCUGAUGUACCCAAUGACACAACAGCCUCCGCUUAUCCCAUUCACCCAUUGGCCGGCUUGCUGUUGGUGGAUGAGGAGCCUUUAUCAGUCGUCCAACCAGAUGGCAGGGCUGUGUCAGAGGGGGUGGGCCUGAGAGAGCAGCCUGCCUUCUCCUCCAUACUGACCCUGCUGGCGGACAAACACCCACUGAGCCUGGUCCGAUCCAAGGCCUCGCCAACCAUCACCAAGGAAAACAACCAAACCAGCCUGUGGCCUUCGGUUGCUCCCUUCUCUUCUUCUUCUUCUGUGGAGCCGAGCAGAGACCUGUCUGACAGCUCAGGUUUGACUCCCAGCAUGCUUCACCAGACCAGGGCGUCAUCAAUGUCAGUGUCAUCAGUGGCAAUGUCAUCGCCAUCAUCACGAUCAUCAUUAACAAUGUCAUCACCAUCAUCAUCAUCACCACCAUCAGCAGCAGCAAUAUCAUCAUCAUCACCACCAUCAUCAUCAUCAUCAGCAAUAUCAUCACUAUCACCAUCAUCACCAGUAUCAUCACUAUCACCAGCAUCCUCAUCUGAAUGGUUAAUAACAGCAGCCUUUGCUUUAUCCUAUGACAUCUCAAGCCCGUCUAACCCUGUCAGUGUGACACAAACUGCUUCAUCAGUGUCAUCUGUGUUUCCUCUGAAUAAAACAUCAUUGAAUCCCCCAAUCCAAUCCAGCAUUAGUUUAGAUGUAGAUAUAUUUACAGUCACAAAGAGCUUACCACUUCCCCUCUCUGACUCCACUCACCAAUCACUGACUGGAGGAGUGACCACAGAGACCAGUGGCACCAAAUCACAAGUCAGGACUCAGGACUCUGCAGCUCCAGCAUCGCUUCAAUCCCAUGACUUGUAUGGGACACAAAGGACAACAUCGUCAAACAAAAUAGACGCCAGCCCUUUCACAACAUGGAAACCAGCAAAGACAGAACCAAACCACUCCACCUCUACUAGUGUUACCUCUGGAAAUGUCCCUUUCAACGUUUCAGCCAGAACCAUCCGAUCAUCACACAGUCGCCGGACCAGGACUGUUCUCACUAACAACAGAGAGACAAGCUCUUUACUUCUCUCCUCUCCUGUCCAGGACAGUCAAGCUAAUCAAAGCCAACAGCGCGUAUUACAAACUGUCCGCUCAGCAUUGCUGUCACCUCCACCUACUCCCCCACAAGGAUAUUUAGUUCCUAGUCUCAUCACAGGGGAAUAUAUCAGUGCAACACCAAACAGGGCAAAAAGAGAUAAGACAUGGACAGGUAGUCAGACGGCUUUUAUAAGAAGCACCUGGCCUGUAGCAGUUACCUCACUGCCUUCUCAUGCUGUAGAUUCAAGUGUGUCGCCGGCUGUGACGACCAGAAUAUCGGCAACAUAUUUCCCUAUCUCAUCUAACACCUUACCAACCUUGUCAGAUACCGGCUCACCCCGCUCAGACACCACAGUGGCUAAGUUAACAGGCUCUUACUGGAGCACAGCAUCUCCUCAGAGCUCAACAUAUCCCAGUGAUUUAGUAACAGCCACAGGGCACACCAGCCCAAGCGCUCCUGACCCCAAUAGGAAUAAUGAUGAGGGAGGAAGAGCAGGAGGGGAAGUCAGCUUGGAUUCAACUGCUCAGACAAGAAGUCACCCCCUCAGUUACUCCAUUGUCACCUCUGUAUCUGGAACACUGAGUGACUCCACUCUCAGUUCUGUAUCUGGAACACUGAGUGACUCCACUCUCAGUUCUGAAUCUGGAACACUGAGUGACUCCACUCUCAGCUCUGUAUCUGGAACACUGAGUGACUCCACUCUCAGCUCUGUAUCUGGAACACUGAGUGACUCCAUUCUCAGCUCUGUAUCUGGAACACUGAGUGACUCCAUUCUCAGCUCUGUAUCUGGAACACUGAGUGACUCCAUUCUCAGCUCUGUAUCUGGAACACUGAGUGACUCCACUCUCAGUUCUGUAUCUGGAACACUGAGUGACUCCACUCUCAGCUCUGUAUCUGGAACACUGAGUGACUCCACUCUCAGCUCUGUAUCUGGAACACUGAGUGACUCCACUCUCAGCUCUGUAUCUGGAACACUGAGUGACUCCAUUCUCAGCUCUGUAUCUGGAACACUGAGUGACUCGCCCAUGUCUGCUAGUAGCGUAACCCUUGGAGAAGCAGGAUUGACCCCUCUAACCUCGCUGACUCCUUCUUUGAAUUCUGACACGGGCCUGAUGUCACUUGCUGUCACUGAUCCAUCAACUUUAGCUCAGCACCUGACACGGGCGUUAACCUCUCCCACCCUGCAUGCUAGUCCCUCAACAGUACCCCAGGUUCCCCAAUUCACCCUCUCCAUCAUCCUGACCACCAAGCACCCUUACUUUAACCCAACUGUCUCUAGUCUCCACAGAACUGAUGAUGCACCGACCCAGUCUGGCUCUAGAGGAACCACAUCUACACACAGACCUGUAGUGCUGUUAGCGACGCCUCGCGCUACCUCACCGUCAGCGACCCAGUUUCAAACAAGGCCAUUGUAUAUUUCUGUUAGCACAGGGUCUGAGGUAGGUUCCCCUGAUAUGACCCCUGAAAUGUCCCUAGAUAAGUCAGCUGAAAUGUCCCCUGUAAAUUCCUCUGAAAUGUCAACUGAAAUGUUAUCUGAAACGUCCCCUGAUACAGCAGAGAGAGACAUGUCCUCAACAUGGACCUCACUGUUUGUCGGCUCACCCGAUCCUACUGCGACAGGCGAGACAGAUCACACUUUUCAAACACACUCCACAGCCCAGGUCCACUCCACAGCCCAGGUCCACUCCACAUCCCAGGUCCACUCCACAGCCCAGGUCCACUCCACAGCCCAGGUCCACUCCACAUCCCAGGUCCACUCCACAUCCCAGGUCCACUCCACAGCCCAGGUCCACUCCACAGCCCAGGUCCACUCCAGUUCACCUGAACAUCUGACACCACUUGAUGCUUCUGCUGAUAUUACACACACGCCUGCUGAGAACACAGAGACUGGCUCAGUUUGGCCCCUUUCUGCUAUAGUUGAGGAUUCCUCCACUUACAUCACAGACCUAAGUGUUCAUGUUUAUAAGGGAACACCCCCAUUAAUGAGUUCUCCAACACCCUCCUCUUAUGUUACAGAGGACUCCUUGAUUUCCAGAGGGACUGACUCUGAAGGUUCUCCUUAUCCACGCCCCACUGAUAUCCCUGCAUAUGUUAACACUGCAGAGGCUGUUCCGACUCCUCUUAAACUUGUCUCCCACAGAACGAAAAGCACAACAAGGGGAAAAGAUGUUCUCUCUACAAUGUCAGAAAGUCCUACCGUCAUGAGGGAAUACCCUACUCCGUCACAGACACCAUUAAUAAGUGAGCAUAGUUCUCUUUCUCAUUCUGAUACAGACAGGAAAAUGGGCGUGUCCUCAACAACAUGGUCUACAUAUUUUAACACCAUAACCUCUGAUACAGGAGGACUUUCCACUAAAAGCCUGGGACUCAAUGGACGUAGAGGGUAUCUUUCUCUACCAUCUGUCUCCUCUCACUCACCUGAUAGAGCAUUCUCCCCUGGUGCAGCUACACUGAUGUCAAAUGGGAGAGAGGAUACCUUUGUUGGACACACAUCAGUCACAUAUUCUAAAGUGACACCAUUACCCAAGCCCUGGAGUUUGACACCAGCCAAUCUGGUGGCUUCUAUAUCCUCCACUACACAGAAGAGAACCACGGAGAACAACACUCCCCUGUUAGAGGGGGUAACAUCAGCAUUAUCAGUGUCCAUGCCAGAGAACAACACUCCCCUGUUAGAGGGGGUAACAUCACCAUUAUCAGUGUCCAUGCCAGUCUCUACCACACCUGAUAACUCUGUGACUAUUUCAGCCGUCAUCUACAUCUCAUCUGCCCAUCAGAGCAAGUAUACAGCGUCUGAGAGGAAUGUAAGUGUUAGCACGUCGGAGUCUGUCACUAUUUCUGACGCAACAGUUCUGAAUACCCCUGCACCCCAUGAACAUGUCAUUAUGGAUACGGGACAUACUAACUCAACAAUGAACGUACAAGUAGACUUGCCAUCAUCACCCUCAUCAUCAUCAUCAUCACUAUCAUUAUCAUCCUCACCAUCGUCAUCGUCAUCACCAUCAUCUUCAUCACCAUCUUCACGAUCAUCAUCAUCACCAUUUUCAUCAUCAGCAGCAGCAGCGAUAUCUUCAUCACCAUUGUCUUCAUCAUCUUCCGCCUUGUUAUCAAUGACAUCGUCAUCAUCCGUCGUGUCACACCAAUCUCACAUCACCAGUGUGUCCAGUCCCACCACAGCUCCCAGUCUGUCCUCCCUCUCCAUGGACCGUUCUGAUUCAACAUCAUCAUCCACUUCUGGGUUGACUGUGAUUUCACCAUCCCCAUCAAGUGUCUUCCCCUCCACUGGUAUGACGUCAUCACCCUCUGCCCUUUUGUCACCUGCUCUUACAUCAUCAUCCUCUGCCCUCAUGUCCCAUGGUGUGACUUCAUCACCCAGCUCCCUGGCAUCCAGCGUGACAUCAUCAUCCUCUGCCCUCAUGUCCCAUGGUGUGACUUCAUCACCCAGCUCCCUGGCAUCCAGCGUGACAUCAUCAUCCUCUGUCCACUUGUCCACUGGUAUGUCCUCUUCCUCCGCACUCAUGUCUCGUGGUGUUACAUCAUCAUUAAUUGCCCUGACAUCCAGUGUGACAUCAUCAUUCCCCUCCCAUCUCUCAGAGGAAGUGAGUGUGACUUCUGUUCUUGUUACAGAGACAGCGAUGGAGGAGUUAACCGUGGGAACAUCCAGAGAGACAGGGGUUAAUUUCCCCAAAGACAACGAGACCAGAUUAUCCCAAACAGGGAACCUCACCUUAGCUGACAGGCCUGCACUCACAACAUCACAGGUGUCACCUUUGACCCCCCGAGAGGACACAACGACUGCAUCCCUCCAGCUCACGACCGUGACCACCACAACCAUAGCUUCAACCACAACCACAACACAGCCAAUCACAGAAAGCCCAACCACGACAACAACACGCAGAACCACCACCACCACCACUGCUCCAGCCUCCAGGAGAACACUGUCACCUCCAAUCCCAAAGACCAAACCCAGAGGGACGACCACCCCGUUCCCCUUCACCACCACCACGGAGGCUCCACCCCGGCAGUGUAACGUCACAGAGAAGAUCUGGGUUAAAACAAGUAAGAGACACAGAAAAAAGAAUGCCAUGAACCUUUUCUCAACAGGUUGUUACAUUGUUGGUCGUAGUUGGGGUUAUGGUUUUAAAUACACAGAUAUAUAGUUGACUAUAUAUAGUUCUAUUUUCCAAAUAGAAUAUGCCUUCCCUCUCUUCUCUUCUCUUCCCUGCCUCCCUCUCUCUCUCUCUCUCCCCCCUCUCUCUGUCUCUCUCUCUCUCUCCCACCCCCCCCUCUCUCUCUCUCUCCCACCCCCCCCCCCCCCUCUCUCUCUCUCUCUCUCUCUCUCUCUCUCUCCCACCCCCCCCCCCCCCCCCCCCUCUCUCUCUCUCUCUCUCCCACCCCCCCCUCUCUCUCUCUCUCUCCCACCCCCUCUCUCUCUCCCUCUCAUAUGUUUGUCUCUACAGUUCUGACCAUCCAUGUGAGAAGGAACCGCCUGGACAGCAUUCAGAGACAGAACCUGCGUAGAGGGCUGACCCAGGCUCUGAGUAGAGCUCUGAAUGACACCACUGCCCAGGCUCAG